rnacentral:rRNA from 1 species
UGGGGAAUAUUGCACAAUGGGCGCAAGCCUGAUGCAGCCAUGCCGCGUGUGUGAAGAAGGCCUUCGGGUUGUAAAGCACUUUUGUCCGGAAAGAAAUCCUUGGCUCUAAUACAGUCGGGGGAUGACGGUACCGGAAGAAUAAGCACCGGCUAACUACGUGCCAGCAGCCGCGGUAAUACGUAGGGUGCAAGCGUUAAUCGGAAUUACUGGGCGUAAAGCGUGCGCAGGCGGUUUGCUAAGACCGAUGUGAAAUCCCCGGGCUCAACCUGGGAACUGCAUUGGUGACUGGCAGGCUAGAGUAUGGCAGAGGGGGGUAGAAUUCCCACGUGUAGCAGGUGAAAUGGCGUAGAGAUGUGGAGGAAUACCGAUGGCGAAGGCAGCCCCCUGGGCCAAUACUGACGCUCAUGCACGAAAGCGUGGGGAGCAAAACAGGAUUAGAUACCCCUGGGUAGUCCACGCCCUAAACGAUGUCAACUAGUUGUUGGGGGAUUCAUUUCCUUAGUAACGUAGCUAACGCGUGAAGUUGGACCGCCUGGGGAGUACGGUCGCAAGAUUAAAACUCAAAU